AUAAUGUUAUUCAGAUUUGGAACUGAAGAGCUGAUAAAGCAAGUGUCUUGAAGCAAGCGAAAUGUGACCUCUUUCAUUUAUUGUAUCGUGUAUAUUAUAAUUCCAAAACAGUAGGCACGGAAUUCUCAGAAAUGACUGACGUUUUUGCCUUAAUUUGUUUCGUGCAGUGGCGUACAGAAAUUAUACUAAAUAGAUGAGGAAAAAUAUAUAGAAUCACCACCUGUCAAAAAUGUUUUCAACAGUAAUACCACUAGAGGUCAAAUUAUCUCUCAUGAAUAUUUUGAAAAUUUCCCGAGUCGUAGAUGGAAGAAAUUCAUGAGCGAGAUUGUUGCGUUGCUAUGGUAACUAAGUAAUUUCUACUAAUUGUAGUUGCAUGGGAAUAUCAUUCCAUUAGAGAAAAUAGUAAAUUCUUCAAUUUUACAUAAGUUUUGAGUAACUACAAGUGGUAGAAAUUUGUUUUUUUUUGCGUUUUCAUUAUUGUGGGUUAUGCGCGCUUUAAUGGUAUGGAAUUCAUAACCAGCGUCAGCAAGCAUUACAUAUAGAAGUCUGUGAGCAUUGUAUUUGACAGUUCAAAACAUCAAAAAAACUCGUGUUUUGUUGCGAUAAAGAAUAUUGCACAGCCAGUAAAACCAACAAAAUUCUGUGUUU